GGCCCCGUAGCUCAGCAUGGAUAGAGCGGCGGCCUGCGGAGCCGUAGGACCCGGACAUACACUCAAUUGAGUGUACGGGGUAAGUUCAAAUCCCGGCGGGGCCGCCA
rnacentral:tRNA from 1 species